CCCCCAUAUUUCCCUUUCCUCUUCCUCUUCUUCUUUGUUCCCCUCUGUAUCUUCUCUUUUCUUUCCUAAACCAGCUUAUCUAAUUCAAACCACAGACAUCUCAUUCAACUUAUCUCAUUCAAAAUUCAAAUUCAUUAUUUCCCCAAAACAGAUCUCCAAAACAAAUUCCAAAACCCAAAGAGAGAAGAAAUGAAAGUUGAAGGGAUUCAGGCGAUUUGGUUUUAAUCUACUCAUUCGGAUCCGAUUUGGUGCCUUCACUCGAUUAGCAAUCAUCGGCGUUUCACUGUAUCUGGUGAAAGUAGUGAAAUCAAAUCAGAGAUGGAUAGGGUUUCCAUUAGUGAUCUCCCGUUGGAUGUUCCUUCAAGAACAGGUUUGUAUGUCUCAUCUACGAUCAGAUCUGCAUCAACAGUAGGCAUUUUUGGUAGAGAUGAAAUUCCAGCACUGAUCACGAUUACCUGUGCCUGAUUUGGUGGGGUUAAACCCAUACUGCAGCGUCAUAUCAGAUUCCGGUCAGGCUAGGGUUCCAGUGAGUACUUAGUGCCUCACGACUACUCUGGCUACGACCUUGGUUUUCCGGCGACUAGCGGUUUAAUUCCGGUGAAUAGGUGAAUCCCGAGUAACUAUUCUAUCAUCUAAAAUGUGAUAUUAUACAAUUAAACAACUGAUGUUCUGGAUCAAACUCAGAUACCAAACCAAAAAGGCUUGAUAACAAAACCAGUGAUGAAGAGCAGUCAGACUAACCAGAGAUUGAAACAGCCAAUGUGAACAGAGCAACUCUAAAGUGGAUGUUAAAAGGAUUAAUAGAAUCUGCGAAGCGCUCAAGAAGGAACUAAGUAAGUCAAAAUGCUAUAAGUAACUAAGGAUGCAGCUGCUCUUGCUGAAUUUUUGUCUUGGCUGGAGGAGGAAAUAAACAAAGACAUGCCUGUCACAGAGGUAGAAGUUGCAGACGAACUUCAUGAGCUUUGCACAAGUCUAGCUGGUUGUUAAGAGAAAAAAAUGAACUAAAAUUCAUUUUUUAUGGUAUUUGGAUCCAUGUUCUUUAAAGAUGAUUGAAAUGUUUAAUGGAUUUUUAGCAACAAGAAAAUAAUUAAGCUCAUGCGCCAUUGCCGUUGAAAAGCUACGCAGUUACUAUU
rnacentral:lncRNA from 1 species